AUUGAACGCUGGCGGCAGGCCUAACACAUGCAAGUCGAGCGGAUGAAGGGAGCUUGCUCCUGGAUUCAGCGGCGGACGGGUGAGUAAUGCCUAGGAAUCUGCCUGGUAGUGGGGGAUAACGUCCGGAAACGGGCGCUAAUACCGCAUACGUCCUGAGGGAGAAAGUGGGGGAUCUUCGGACCUCACGCUAUCAGAUGAGCCUAGGUCGGAUUAGCUAGUUGGUGGGGUAAAGGCCUACCAAGGCGACGAUCCGUAACUGGUCUGAGAGGAUGAUCAGUCACACUGGAACUGAGACACGGUCCAGACUCCUACGGGAGGCAGCAGUGGGGAAUAUUAGACAAUGGGCGAAAGCCUGAUCCAGCCAUGCCGCGUGUGUGAAGAAGGUCUUCGGAUUGUAAAGCACUCUAAGUUGGGAGGAAGGGCAGUAAGUUAAUACCUUGCUGUUUUGACGUUACCAACAGAAUAAGCACCGGCUAACUUCGUG
rnacentral:rRNA from 1 species